rnacentral:tRNA from 1 species
CCUCCGGUAGGCUAGUGGUUAGAGUUUCAGUCUUGUAGACCGAAGGUCGUGGGUUUGAUUCCCACCUGAAGCA